AUCUCUGGGCAACCUGUUCCAGUGCUUCACCACUGUAGCAGAAAUGCUGAGUCGGGGCCUGAAACAGUGAUCAAGCUCCUGGUGGGAGGCAGGGCCAACCCAGGGGAGUGCAGGUGCAAGCAACAGGUGCAAGCAAUGUGCCUGAGUGACUGGAAUGGGCAGAGCCAGGAUCUGACCCUUCCCAGACCUCAUUUAAGGGUUGGCAGGGGAAGGCAAGAUGUUUCUCACUGGAGGUCCUUGCUUUCUUGAGGCUUUCUGAAGGAGCGAUGCUCUAUUCCUUGGAUCAUUUUAUUGCUUUUCUCUGGAUAAACUCCAGCAGGUCUAUGUCUCUGCUGUACUGAGAGUUGUACAUCCAGAGAAAUCACCUUUCAAGGACGAGGCUCAUCACUCCCUCGCAUGCAGAGAAGCUGCCAGCAGGAGGAACCUGUUUUCAUUUAUGUGUUUUCGUGAGAUUGUGGCACGAGGUUAACUCAUGUAGGAUUUACCAGAUGUCUCUUUGUGGAGUGGGCUGCUUUGAGAGCAGAAGCGUUCUUCACUUUACACGUAAAUGCAUGCAUGAGUCAUAUACCUGCAUAUGCUCCUUUUUUCCAAGGACACUGUGCCCUGUGGAGGUGGGAGUGCUCCUUUCUCACCUGGAGAAUUUCACAUCAUAGCAGGCUAUCAGAAGAACAGAGAACAGGGAAUGCUUCAACUUUGCUUUAAAGCUGCCUACCUCUUAGUCUGUCUGGUGGGUCAGAUAAGACCUGUCUAAUCUUGCAUUAAAAAAAAGUUUUACCAGUGCAUGACUUUUUUAGUCUUUUUUUUUUCUCUUUUUAGUUUCCUGUGGCAUUUACUAAAAGAAGGUAUUGCACUCUUUAAGUGCUUGCAAAAAAAAAAAAAAAAAUUCUCUGGCUUAUUUCUGGUCAAAGGACGAUAGAUGGGAUGAAGAGAGAACUAUCUGAACCAAGGCAGAGGCUUCCUUUCUCAUUGCAAUAGGGGCUGUUCAGCUGGUCAUGCUCAUGACAAACAGUCACCUCUUUUCAGCUUCAGUGAGAAGACUGGAGAACUGGAGGGGAUGUCCCCCAUAAACUGUGCAGAGUACCCAGUGCAGAAAAUAGCAUGUGUAGGGACAGUGGCCUUUGCAGGUUGUCUUGGGAACUGAGGGCAGCAGUGAGGAGUGGGGUCCAUCCCUCUCAGCAAGUGCUGAGCAGGGUCUGGUGUUCAUGGUGACAGAUGCUUGAAUCUGAUAUUUCUCACUGCCAUUGAGCUCUCUGAUUGAUUUGCCUAGCUUGCCAUGAUGAAAUCAUUAAUCUUGACACUUGCUGCAGCCCAAACUUAGGCACACUGGAGUUGUUUUUUCUGCACCUGCCAAAAGACGGAUCAGGCAGCAGGGUUUUCACACUCCAUGAAAGCUAUGGACAUGAUUUCUAAGAAGGGAUUGACAGAGGCCACUAAAGGGAACAGAUCAGGAGAUGUCCUGCCUUUGGAGGGACUGGAGAGAAGAAACUUGUUUCUUGGAGUGAAAGGAAAACAGAUGAUGAGCCAUGUUUUUACAAAUUCGUACUAUUUCUAUGAUAAGUUCAGAACACAGUUUAUAGAAUCAUGGAAUGGCUCAGAUUGGAAGGGACGUUAAAGAUCAUCUUGUUCCAACCCCCUACCACUGGCUGGUUGCCAUCUAUCAGAUCAGGGCCCCAUCCACCCUGGCUUUGAGCACUUCCAGGGAUGG